rnacentral:miRNA from 1 species
CGAUUUAACUGCUUUUAAGGCGGUUUUCCACUAGGCGAAAUUUUUCGACCGAAUCGAAAUUUCUCUUUGUUUCAGAGCUCUCGAGCAGAACUAAUUGUAAAAAGACAAAGAGAAAUUUUGUUUCGGUCGAAAAAUUCCGCCUCGUGGAAUCCGGCCUUUAAACGCGAGUCG